UCCCCCUGGCAAUAGGCAAAGAGACACCCUGUCGGUGAUGUUGGUUUUAUAUCAGUCAGAGGCAGAGAGGGUGGCAGACCUUUGCUUAUCCUAGCUUGACGCAUGGCUUAGUGGUCAAAGCUAUCUUAUGUCUAGGACUCAUAA